GUACCCCGUCUUGACGGUACCUUGUUAGAAAGCACCGGCUAACUCCGUGCCAGCAGCCGCGGUAAUACGGAGGGUGCAAGCGUUGUUCGGAAUUAUUGGGCGUAAAGGGCGUGUAGGUGGCUUGCCAAGUCUGGUGUGAAAGCCCACGGCUCAACCGUGGAACUGCAUUGGAAACUGGCAAGCUCGAGUGUUGGAGGGGGUCAGAGAAUUCCCGGUGUAGAGGUGAAAUUCGUAGAUAUCGGGAGGAAUACCAGUGGCGAAGGCGCUGACCUGGACGAAGAUUGACGCUGAGGUGCGAAAGCGCGGGGAGCAAACAGGAUUAGAUACCCUGGUAGUCCGCGCUGUAAACGAUGAGUGCUAGACGGUGGAGGUAUUGACCCCUUCGCUGCCGAAGCUAACGCGUUAAGCACUCCGCCUGGGGAGUACGGUCGCAAGACUAAAACUCAAAGGAAUUGACGAGGG
rnacentral:rRNA from 1 species